GGAAUCUUCCGCAAUGGGCGAAAGCCUGACGGAGCAAUGCCGCGUGGAGGUAGAAGGCCCACGGGUCGUAAACUCCUUUUCUCGGAGAAGAAUCAAUGACGGUAUCUGAGGAAUAAGCAUCGGCUAACUCUGUGCCAGCAGCCGCGGUAAGACAGAGGAUGCAAGCGUUAUCCGGAAUGAUUGGGCGUAAAGCGUCUGUAGGUGGCUCUCUAAGUCCGCUGUCAAAUCCCAGGGCUCAACCCUGGAGAGGCGGUGGAAACUAUUGGGCUGGAGUACGGUAGGGGCAGAGGGAAUUUCCGGUGGAGCGGUGAAAUGCGUAGAGAUCGGAAAGAACACCAAAGGCGAAGGCACUCUGCUGGGCCGACACUGACACUGAGGGACGAAAGCUAGGGGAGCAAAU
rnacentral:rRNA from 1 species